rnacentral:rRNA from 1 species
GUAGGGAAUAUUGCACAAUGGGGGGAACCCUGAUGCAGCCAUGCCGCGUGUGUGAAGAAGGCCUUCGGGUUGUAAAGCACUUUCAGCGGGGAGGAAAUUAAGUUAGACGUUACCCGCAGAAGAAGCACCGGCUAACUCCGUGCCAGCAGCCGCGGUAAUACGGAGGGUGCGAGCGUUAAUCGGAAUAACUGGGCGUAAAGGGCACGCAGGCGGGCUGAUAAGUAAGGUGUGAAAUACCGGGGCUCAACCUCGGGGCUGCAUUUUAAACUGUCAGUCUAGAGUAUUGCAGAGGGAGACGGAAUUCCGGGUGUAGCGGUGAAAUGCGUAGAUAUCCGGAAGAACACCGGAGGCGAAGGCGGUCUUCUGGGCAAAUACUGACGCUCAGGUGCGAAAGCGUGGGGAGCAAACAGGAUUAGAAACCCCGGUAGUCC